CGGAUCGAGCGUUGGCUGCCGCUAGACUUCGCGCGGUGAUUGACCAUCACCGCCUUGCCGCGCAGCACCCAGAAGAGGGAGAUCACGAAGCCCACCACGAACAUCGUGAUGAAACCCGUCAGCGUCUGGCCUUCCCAGGUGAACAUGUAGUCGCGGAUUGGCUCGACGCUUUCGUACUGCAUCGCAAGCUGGAGAAGCUCGGCGAACAG
rnacentral:misc_RNA from 1 species